rnacentral:rRNA from 1 species
UACGUAGGGAGCAAGCGUUGUUCGGAUUUACUGGGCGUAAAGGGCGCGUAGGCGGCGCGGUAAGUCACUUGUGAAAUCUCUGAGCUUAACUCAGAACGGCCAAGUGAUACUGCAGUGCUAGAGUGCAGAAAGGGCAAUCGGAAUUCUUGGUGUAGCGGUGAAAUGCGUAGAUAUCGUCUGGAACGCCUGUGGUGAAGACGGGUGACUGGGCAGGUUCUGACACUGAGGCACGAAAGCGUGGGGAGCGAACGGG